GGAGGAUAUAGUUGGUAGGGUAUCUUCCUUCUUCCAUCAGUGGCUUCGGACUCAGUUAAAGUCUUCUUCGCAGCUGGAAAUAAUCAGUUGGUUGAGGCAGAUUAUCAGCGUGUUGUCAGUUGGCAAUGUCUGCCUUUCCAGUUCCUCAAGUGUAAUGGGGAUGCUGCGAUAUUAUCUUCUAUGAACAGGUUAGGAGCUAGCUGGGUAUUACGAAGGGUAGAUGGCUCUUUUGUUAGAGCUUCUCAGAAAAUAAUAUGUGGGCCAAUGGAUCCAAAGCUUGCUGAGGCGUUGAGCUUAAAGGAUGCAUUAAGCUGAAUCAAAG
rnacentral:misc_RNA from 1 species